AGUAGCGCGGGAGCUGAGAAGUUGGAGGGUUGGGUUGGUCCCGGCAAGGCCUUGAGCAGUUUGUUCCGCUGUCUUCCCGCUUCCUGGUGCCCCGACUGCGUCCCCACGAACGCCCCGUCCUUACCGCCGGCUGCUGUGGAGUGCCUCGCUGUCUCCCAGGUCCCCGAGUUCCUGGUUUCAGAGAAGAUGACCGAAGAACUGGAUUUCCUGGGACAGGACUCUGAUGGGGGUAGUGAGGAAGUGGUCCUAACUCCUGCAGAGCUCAUUGAAAGAUUGGAGCAGGCCUGGAUGAAUGAAAAGUUUGCCCCUGAGCUGCUGGAGAGCAAGCCUGAGAUUGUAGAAUGUGUCAUGGAACAGCUGGAGCACAUGGUAAGA
rnacentral:sRNA from 1 species